GAUGAACGCUGGCGGCGUGCCUAAUACAUGCAAGUCGAGCGAACAGACGAGGAGCUUGCUCCUCUGAUGUUAGCGGCGGACGGGUGAGUAACACGUGGAUAACCUACCUAUAAGACUGGGAUAACUUCGGGAAACCGGAGCUAAUACCGGAUAACAUGUUGAACCGCAUGGUUCAACAGUGAAAGACGGUCUUGCUGUCACUUAUAGAUGGAUCCGCGCCGCAUUAGCUAGUUGGUAAGGUAACGGCUUACCAAGGCAACGAUGCGUAGCCGACCUGAGAGGGUGAUCGGACACACUGGAACUGAGACACGGUCCAGACUCCUACGGGAGGCAGCAGUAGGGAAUCUUCCGCAAUGGGCGAAAGCCUGACGGAGCAACGCCGCGUGAGUGAAGAAGGUCUUCGGAUCGUAAAACUCUGUUAUUAGGGAAGAACAAAUGUGUAAGUAACUAUGCACGUCUUGACGGUACCUAAUCAGAAAGCCACGGCUAACUACGUG
rnacentral:rRNA from 1 species